UACGUAGGGGGCCAGCGUUGUCCGGAUUUAUUGGGCGUAAAGAGCGUGUAGGCGGCCAGGUAGGUCUGGUGUGAAAACUCGAGGCUCAACCUCGAGAUGUCAUCGGAAACCAUCUGGCUAGAGUCCGGAAGAGGAGAGUGGAAUUCCUGGUGUAGCGGUGAAAUGCGCAGAUAUCAGGAAGAACACCCGUGGCGAAGGCGGCUCUCUGGGACGGUACUGACGCUGAGACGCGAAAGCGUGGGGAGCGAACAGG
rnacentral:rRNA from 1 species